GUGUUGUAAUUCAGUGCCAGAAGGACUCACAAGACUCCGAAUCUACCAUACGAAAAUAAGGAGGAUAUGUAUAAAAAUAUAACUGUCAAGAUGAAUCACCAGAGCACUGUCUCUAGCAGACACACCAGGCGCUGCUCACAUGAAACCGUUGUGCCUCAUGGUACAUCCACGAAAUGGAAUGCUCGGCAGCUAUUAAAAAUGUCACAAGAGAACAUUUAUUGACAUGAAGAGGUGAUGGGACAAUUGGUAUGUGUGCCAGGUAGUCAGACAACAUACAGUAAUGAUUCCAUUUCUGUAAAAAAUAUAUAUGCAUAUAUGGCAAAAAAAAAAAAAAAAAAAAGACU